CACGAGUGUAUAUUUAAGUUGUUGCAGUUAAAAAGCUCGUAGUUGAACUUCUUUUUGUUCAGAAGGUGUGCAAGCAUCGUCUGGGCGAAAAUCCGCCUGAAAAAUCAUUCGGGUCUUCACUGAUUCAGUGAUGGAUCAGGCAUUUUACUUUGAAAAAAUUAGAGUGUUCAAAGCAGGCUCACGCCUGAAUACAUUAGCAUGGAAUAAUAGAAUAGGACGCUGUUCAAUUUGUUGGUUAUUGAAUUGCGUAAUGAUUAAUAGGGACAGUUGGGGGCAUUUGUAUUUAAUUGUCAGAGGUGAAAUUCUUGGAUUUAUUAAAGACAAACUUAUGCGAAAGCAUUUGCCAAGGAUGUUUUCAUUAA
rnacentral:rRNA from 1 species